rnacentral:rRNA from 1 species
UACGAAGGGGCUAGCGUUGCUCGGAAUCACUGGGCGUAAAGCGCACGUAGGCGGGUUGCUAAGUCAGGGGUGAAAUCCUGGAGCUCAACUCCAGAACUGCCUUUGAUACUGGCGGCCUUGAGUCCGGGAGAGGUGAGUGGAACUGCGAGUGUAGAGGUGAAAUCGUAGAUAUUCGCAAGAACACCAGUGGCGAAGGCGGCUCACUGGCCCGGUACUGACGCUGAGGCGCGACAGCGUGGGGAGCAAACGAGG